AUUGAACGCUGGCGGAAUGCUUUACACAUGCAAGUCGAACGGCAGCACGGACUUCGGUCCGGUGGCGAGUGGCGAACGGGUGAGUAAUGUAUCGGAACGUGCCCAGUCGUGGGGGAUAACGUAGUGAAAAUUACGCUAAUACCGCAUACGAUCUAUGGAUGAAAGCGGGGGAUCGCAAGCCCUCGCGCGAUUGGAGCGGCCGAUAUCAGAUUAGGUAGUUGGUGGGGUAAAGGCCCACCAAGCCAACGAUCUGUAGCUGGUCUGAGAGGACGACCAGCCACACUGGAACUGAGACACGGUCCAGACUCCUACGGGAGGCAGCAGUGGGGAAUUUUGGACAAUGGGCGAAAGCCUGAUCCAGCCAUUCCGCGUGCAGGAUGAAGGCCCUCGGGUUGUAAACUGCUUUUGUACAGAACGAAAAGGUUUCUACUAAUACUAGGAGCUCAUGACGGUACUGUAAGAAUAAGCACUGGCUAACUACGUGCCAGCAGCCGCCGCCG
rnacentral:rRNA from 1 species